UACAGAGGGUGCGAGCGUUGUUCGGAAUUAUUGGGCGUAAAGCGCUUGUAGGCGGCACGUCAAGUCGCGUGUGAAAUCCCCAGGCUUAACCUGGGAAGUGCGCGCGAAACUGACGAGCUUGAGUGCCGGAGAGGGUCGCGGAAUUCCCGGUGUAGAGGUGAAAUUCGUAGAUAUCGGGAGGAACACCAGUGGCGAAGGCAGAUCUCUGGGCCGUAACUGACGCUGAGGAGCGAAAGCAUGGGGAGCGAACAGG
rnacentral:rRNA from 1 species